UACGAAGGGGGCAAGCGUUGUCCGGAAUUAUUGGGCGUAAAGCGCGCGUAGGCGGUCCUUUAAGUCUGAUGUGAAAGCCCACGGCUUAACCGUGGAGGGUCAUUGGAAACUGGAGGACUUGAGUGCAGAAGAGGAGAGUGGAAUUCCACGUGUAGCGGUGAAAUGCGUAGAGAUGUGGAGGAACACCAGUGGCGAAGGCGACUCUCUGGUCUGUAACUGACGCUGAGGUGCGAAAGCGUGGGUAGCGAACAGG
rnacentral:rRNA from 1 species